UCGGGAAUUUUGGGCAAUGGGCGAAAGCCUGACCCAGCAACGCCGCGUGAAGGAUGAAGUAUUUCGGUAUGUAAACUUCGAAAGAAUAGGAAGAAUAAAUGACGGUACUAUUUAUAAGGUCCGGCUAACUACGUGCCAGCAGCCGCGGUAAUACGUAGGGACCAAGCGUUGUUCGGAUUUACUGGGCGUAAAGGGCGCGUAGGCGGCAAUUCAAGUCAUCUGUGAAAUCUCCGGGCUUAACUCGGAACGGUCAGAUGAUACUGCUUUGCUAGAGUGCAGAAGGGGCAAUCGGAAUUCUUGGUGUAGCGGUGAAAUGCGUAGAUAUCAAGAGGAACACCUGAGGUGAAGACGGGUUGCUGGGCUGACACUGACGCUGAGGCACGAAAGCGUGGGGAGCAAACAGGAUUAGAUACCCUAGUAGUCCCUGAGCGGGCUGGCAAGGCGCAU
rnacentral:rRNA from 1 species